UUCCAAAAUCUUCAUAUUGUUUGACUGUUCUGUUACUAUGCCCUCAUCAUUCACCUGCUGAAAGUGUGAAUCCAUUGGCUUCAUUUCAUUGUCUCUGCUAGCUUCAUGUUGAAAAGUUGACAUCAUUUGCUGAGACUCAAAACUCUUGAUUUCCUCCAUCAAAUAAAAUGUCUUCAAACUCGACAAUAACAACUCUCUAUGAGUGGACAACAAAGCUAGAUGACCUGCAUGUAGGAACAUACUUAGCAAAAAGAUUCUUAAACUUCAAAUAGUCACCUGCUCAAGCCAUGCAAACAUCCCAUGAGAUUGUUGCUUUCUUCUAUACAGCUGCAGAUCAAUUGAAAUCAGCAAAAAUAUAAUCCAAUUAAGGCUGGACAGCUCCAAAGUCCAAUCAGCAAUACUCCAAGAGAAGAAUCAUAAAACAAGUAGAUCUAUAAGAACCCGUAUUAUAACUAAAUGCAGCACCGAGGAACUCCAAAGCCUUCAGCUGUGAUUAGUAACAAUUGCAUUGCAUGAUAACUUGAUUCCUUGAAGAAGUCCCAGAAACAAAGUCCAAUUAUUCUGGACAUGACCAUUAGAGGCCCCAACCUUUGGUAAAAGCAAUACAUCACACAAUCAAAUGCAUUCUAACAAGUAACAAAACAUGAAGGAAAGAGUGUGAGAAGCGUGCAGAAAUCUGCUUUGUCCAUCAAGGACAGGCCUACCUCAGAUGGCAACUCUGACCAAGUCUCCUCAGAAAACUGAACUUACCCAAAAAAAUUCAGUAUCAUCAGAACAAAAGCGGCCUCACUUGUGUAAAAUAAAGCUUAAUUGAAUCUCAGAUGGUUCUCUUGUUAUCUAAAAUCAGAGGAAUUUUGAUACAACUAGCAGGUUCAUGACACUACAGCCCAAACCAGAAAGGGAUCUUGCUCUUCUUCAACUACCAACAUCCCUAAAUCAGUAAGCACAUCUCCGUCUCUACCAAGGAAGAUGUGUUUUCCAAGAAUUGGAGUUGGAAAAAGGAUAUAGAUCUAAGCAUUAAUGGCUACUACCUGCUUUCCACUCAAAUGGUUUGAUGGCCCAUGGACAUAAUUUCAAUUAACAUUUAAAAGAAAAUGACAUAGAUAUAGAGAAUGCGAGUGGAGUUACUGAUGAAGGAAAAGAGAACAAAGGCCAGGUUCAUAUUCUGGAGGAAUGCCAUUACAAGAGAACGUACAUCAACGUUUUACGUCCUACAUAUUCAAUUCCCUUGCCUUAUUGCAGAACAACUCAUUGUUCACAAAUAUGAGAAAUAAACAUGUAUUCCUGGCUUUAACGGUCCAAAACUGGUUAGAAUCGCAUACGCAUACAGAAUACUACCAUGGAAAAAGAGCUCCUAAUUCUACACAGGCA
rnacentral:misc_RNA from 1 species